rnacentral:rRNA from 1 species
GACGAACCGUGCGAACGUUAUUCGGAAUCACUGGGCUUAAAGGGCGCGUAGGCGGGCUGUCAAGUCUGGGGUGAAAUCCCGCGGCUCAACCGUGGAACUGCCUUAGAUACUGACGGCCUCGAGGGAGGUAGGGGCAUGCGGAACUGAUGGUGGAGCGGUGAAAUGCGUUGAUAUCAUCAGGAACUCCGGUGGCGAAGGCGGCGUGCUGGACCUUUUCUGACGCUGAGGCGCGAAAGCCAGGGGAGCAAACGGG